rnacentral:rRNA from 1 species
UACGGGGGGGGCAAGCGUUGUUCGGAAUUACUGGGCGUAAAGGGUUCGUAGGUGGCCAACUAAGUCAUACGUGAAAUCCCUCGGCUUAACCGGGGAACUGCGUCUGAUACUGGAUGGCUUGAGGUUGGGAGAGGGAUGCGGAAUUCCAGGUGUAGCGGUGAAAUGCGUAGAUAUCUGGAGGAACACCGGUGGCGAAGGCGGCAUCCUGGACCAAUUCUGACACUGAGGAGCGAAAGCCAGGGGAGCAAACGGG